rnacentral:lncRNA from 1 species
AACGGGAAGGGGUAAGGCAUUUUAUACAAUAACUUGCUAGUGUGUACAAGAACACGGGAAGGGGCAUGUGCCCUAAGCCUUUUUAGUUGCAUAGUAUUAGAAAAAAUUAUAAAUAUGAUACUCUAUUUACUAGUUGUGUUAUUGAUGAUAUCUAAUUACCCCUAUUGUAAUGUCUAUUUUCAAAUGAACUUCCGGUAGUGAAGAGUAUCUUGGUCCCCUAAGUGGGUUUUGGUGAAUUAAUGAUACAAGCUUAAGUUUCUAAUGAACUUUCAAGUGCAUGAGCAGGUUUAAAAGGAUUGGUGGACAUGUAGCACUUGUAGAUGACCCUCAAAAUGGAAAUGAAUGAAUACGGGGCAUACCUUGAAAGGCUAAAUGUAUUUUCGGUUUGAAUGUAAGUAUAGAAAUGCCGUACUAUUAAGAGGGAUGCGUAAUCUUUGGUCUUUACGUUAAAAAAAGUGCUCAAGAUGACAUAACCAACCUAUGAGAGACACCUUGCACCUGCACUUCAUUUGGGAAAUACUUAGAAUGGUGCUGAUUUGAUAGUUCCAAAACUUUCAGUGGAAGUUCCGAAGUCUCCGGAGAAAGUUUCGAAAAUCUCUAGAACUUAACAUUCCAACGGCUAGUUUUCAGUGAACGGGUAUAAAUACCCUCUCACCCUCUCCCACAGUAACUCUCUUGACCUAACUUUGUGCUGAGAUGUUCAGAAACAUUGAAAGCCCCCCUCUUUACUCCCCUUUGGCAUUCUUGGUGAGAUUUGGUGGGGAUUUAAGGAGGGAUUAGAGAGAGAGAGAGAGCAAGGGAGAGUGCUAGUGAGCUGAUUUCCUAUCUCUUGAACACCUUGUUCUUCGUUAAGCUGGUGAUUUCGUAUUUGUUACUCUUAGAGCUUCAAGAUCCUAGCCGGCUAGGCGUUGCCCAUGGAGCAUCCAAGCUUGUGGUUGCCUACGGGAAGUUUGUAUUACCCCGACAAUUGUGUAAGUGAAUCUAGCUUGAUCUUUGUGGUCGCUAGAGUGAGAAAAGUGGCUUAGGUGUGAAAAGCCCACCCUUUGUGGGUUCCUCAAUGGAGACAUAGGCUUCAAGUGUGGAGCUGAACUCCGGUAAACAAAUCCUUGUGUCUCUUGUGCUUGUUGUUCUUCAUUUCGUUCAUAUUCAAGCAUAGAACAUAUUUCUAGGGUUUAUGCUCGGUUUACUUUUCUAGAAGGUUGCUAGCUCUUUUAUCUUGUCCCUAAGGCUCAGUAUAGCCUGUUGCAUAACCUAUAUUUGACGAUUUACUUUUGGUCAAGCAUUUCAUAAAGUUGUAGUUCAAUCUUGUAAAUCUCCGAAGAAUCUGCAGAUUUCUGAUAAAAUUGUUCAAAGUUGUGUACAAUUUUCAGGUUUGACUAUUCACCCCCUCACUAGUCAACAUUCUAGAUCCUUUCACGUAGUUUAUUAGAAGAAUGCUUGAUCAAGCAUGUUACAUAUUAUUUCAUUUUUUUUCUUAUAUACAAGUACAUGGUCAUGCCGUGUUUGUUGUUUGGUUGGAAAAUAUUUUAUUAUUUAAAUAUGUAUAAUAUGUAACCACCUAACCUAGAGCAACAACUCAAAAUGAAACCACAAGAUAGGUUUUUGACCUAAACAUGAACUAUAUGCACAAAUUCUGGUACACACCUAUUUAGGUGUAUGUGACAUUUAAUAGCUGUAUGCAUCACUAGUUGAUCUAGAGUUCGGGAGUUAUAUUCUUUAUCUAUAAAAGUAUGAAUUAAAUAACCAUGUCGCUAAAAUAAAAGGAACGUACUACAUUACAAAUCAAGGAACACAAUUACUCAAUACUAUUUUCUAUGGUAGAUAUCAUCCAAACAUGACCACAAAGGUAUUGGAACAUCCUCAGGCAGUGUGGUUAUACCUUCUAUUUGACAAACAACCUUCAAUUUUAGCUUUGACUUUGCUUGUUAUAUAGUCUUUUACCAUGUAAAAAGAAUCCCCCUCCAUCCAUCGCUUUAUUUUUAAUAUAAUGCUACGACUCCC